AAAAUUUCACCGCGUAGUGCAAUAAAUGUAAAAAUUGUUCUUAUCAGUCUAAUAUCUGAUACGUCCCCCACUUGGGGACUUCGAUAUUACACUGAUUUAGAGAACAUGACGGAGGGUUAGGGACUUGCUCCACCUCUGCCAAGGGUCAGCCUGGUGAUGAAGUACCUCCAGGACGCGUAUCUUUU
rnacentral:snRNA from 1 species